CAAAACAAGAGACCGAUAAGUAUUGUUGAAAUUUUGUUACAAGGCAGUGAUGAAUCGCAUGAUGACGUUGACAGAAAGUCUAAAAAGUCAAUAACAAAGCUGAUGAGUGUGAUCCUGGGCGGUCUGACUGUUUUCCUAGUAAUGGUCAUCAUCUGUCUGGUUGUUAAAAUCGGGAAACUUCAGAAAGCUGCCAGUGUAGAAGAGAAUCCACAACAGCAUGCGAACCUGGGCUCUGAUGACCUGAACUACGCAGCAGUGAAUUUCAGUGCAAAAGCAAGAAGAAGAGAAGUGGAGCCCAAUGUUGUGUAUUCUGCUACUAGAUAGACUGAGGAAUCAAGAAAUGCUGUUCAGGAUGUAACUGAUGCUUUGUCAUGUUAAUCUGCAGUUGUGCUUUUGUGUGGGUGGUGGACA